rnacentral:rRNA from 1 species
UCUGUGGCAAGCUUAACUUUUUUAAGGAAGGCGCAGGGAAACCGAGUCUUAAUAGGGCGACUUAGUCUCAGGUAUUAGACGCGAAACCGGACGAUCUAUCCAUGGCCAGGGUGAAGGUGAGGUAACACUUACUGGAGGCCCGAACCCACCUAUGUUGAAAAAUGGGGGGAUGAGCUGUGGAUAGGAGUGAAAGGCUAAUCAAGUUCGGAGAUAUCUCGUUCUCCCCGAAAUCUAUUUAGGUAGAGCCUCUCAUAUUACUGCUGGGGGUAGAGCACUGUUUCGGCUAGGGGGUCAUCCCGACUUACCAAACCGAUGCAAACUCCGAAUACCAGCAAGUACAGUGAGGGAGACAGACUGCGGGUGCUAACGUCCGUAGUCAAGAGGGAAACAACCCAGAUCGCCAGCUAAGGUCCCAAAGUAUGAUUAAGUGGGAAACGUUGUAGGAAGGCCCAAACAGCUAGGAGGUUGGCUUAGAAGCAGCCAUCCUUUAAAGAAAGCGUAACAGCUCACUAGUCGAGUCGGCCUGCGCGGAAGAUGUAACGGGGCUAAAUCAUACACCGAAGCUGCGAAUGAAUACUUGUAUUCAUGGUAGGGGAGCGUUCUGUAUGCCACUGAAGGUAAAUCGAGAGGUUUGCUGGAGGUAUCAGAAGUGAGAAUGCUGACAUAAGUAACGAUAAGAGGGGUGAAAAACCUCUCCGCCGAAAGACCAAGGUUUCCUGUCCAACGUUAAUCGGGACAGGGUGAGUCGACCCCUAAGGCGAGGGCGAAAGCCGUAGUCGAUGGGAAAUAGGUUAAUAUUCCUAUACUUCUUGUUACUGCGAUGGAGUGACGGAGAAGGCUAGGCCAGCACAGCGAUGGUUGUCUGUGUUUAAGGUUGUAGGCUGGAGAUUUAGGCAAAUCCGGAUCUCUAAGGCCGAGAACUGAUGACGAUUAUCUCUUAGGAGAUAAGAAGUGGUUGAUGCCAUGCUUCCAGGAAAAACUUCUAAGCUAUAGGUAGCAAGGAAUCGUACCGUAAACCGACACAGGUGGUCAGGUAGAGAAUACUAAGGCGCUUGAGAGAACUCUGGUGAAGGAACUAGGCAAAAUGGUACCGUAACUUCGGGAGAAGGUACGCCCUCAUUACGUGAAGAGACUUGCUCUCGGAGCGGAAGAGGGUCGAAGAUACCAGGUGGCUGCGACUGUUUACUAAAAACAUAGCACUCUGCUAACACGAAAGUGGACGUAUAGGGUGUGACGCCUGCCCGGUGCCGGAAGGUUAAUUGAUCGGGUUAGCCCUUGUGGGCGAAGCUCGUGAUUGAAGCCCCGGUGAACGGCGGCCGUAACUAUAACGGUCCUAAGGUAGCGAAAUUCCUUGUCGGGUAAGUUCCGACCUGCACGAAUGGCGUAACGAUGGCCACGCUGUCUCCACCAGAGACUCAGUGAAAUUGAAUUUGCGGUGAAGAUGCCGUAUACGCGCGGCUAGACGGAAAGACCCCGUGCACCUUUACUAUAGGUUCACACUGGACUUUGAGUUUAUUUGUGUAGGAUAGGUGGGAGACUUUGAAGCAAGAGCGCCAGCUCUUGUGGAGUCGUCCUUGAAAUACCACCCUAUUAAAUUUGGAGUUCUAACUUAGGCCCGUUAUCCGGGUCGAGGACAGUGUGUGCUGGGUAGUUUGACUGGGGCGGUCUCCUCCCAAAGAGUAACGGAGGAGUGCGAAGGUAACCUCAGCACGGUCGGACAUCGUGCAAUGAGUGCAAUGGCAUAAGGUUGCUUAACUGCGAGACUGACACGUCGAGCAGGUACGAAAGUAGGUCAUAGUGAUCCGGUGGUUCUGUAUGGAAGGGCCAUCGCUCAACGGAUAAAAGGUACGCCGGGGAUAACAGGCUAAUACCCCCCAAGAGUUCACAUCGACGGGGGUGUUUGGCACCUCGAUGUCGGCUCAUCACAUCCUGGGGCUGAAGCAGGUCCCAAGGGUAUGGCUGUUCGCCAUUUAAAGUGGUACGCGAGCUGGGUUUAGAACGUCGUGAGACAGUUCGGUCCCUAUCUGCCGUGCGCGUUGGAAAAUUGAGAAGAGUUGCUCCUAGUACGAGAGGACCGGAGUGAACGAACCU